AAUAGCUGGUUCUCCUCGAAAUAGCUUUAGGGCUAGCCUCAGAACACUACAUUUUGGAGGUAGAGCACUGAAUGAAAGCGAGCCGCGCCAAGCGGUAUCAAUUUCAAUCAAACUCCGAAUUCCGAGAUGCUUAUUCUGGGAGUCAGACUGUGGGAGAUAAGUUUCAUGGUCAAAAGGGCAACAGCCCGGACCGCCAACUAAGGUCCCUAAAUUCGCGCUAAGUGUUAAAGGAUGUAGAGAUACUUAAACAGCUAGGAUGUUGGCUCAGAGGCAGCCAUCAUUUAAAGAAUGCGUAACAGCUCACUAGUCAAGUGUCUCCGCGCCGAAAAUUUACCGGGGCUAAGCGCGAUACCGAAGUUGCGGAUAUUUCUAAAGAAAUGUGGUAGGGGAGCGUUCCAUUAGCAUAGAAGCCAUACCGGAAGGAGUGGUGGAGCGAAUGGAAGUGAGAAUGCCGGCGUAAGUAACGAUAAGAGGUGAGAAUCCUCUUCACCAUUUGACUAAGGUUUCCUGGGCUAGGUUCGUCCACCCAGGGUCAGUCGGGACCUAAGACGAGGCCGAAAGGCGUAGCCGAUGGACAGCAGGUUAAUAUUCCUGAACCCGGUUGUGUGCGAUCGCAGUGACGAAAGCGGUUAGGUUUACCCACGAAUGGAAGUGUGGGGAGAUAGUGAUAAGCUGUCGGCUAGAAUCCGACACCAAGUGAAACACCGAAGUACGAAAGGGGUGACCUGAGUAGGAAGUAGCUGAUACCGAUUUCCAAGAAAAGCUGCUAGCUUAAGCACAAUCGGCCCGUACCGAGAACGGACACACGUGGUCAAGGAGAGUAUCCUAAGGUGAGCGAGAUAACUGUUGUUAAGGAACUCUGCAAAAUUACUUCGUAAGUUAGCGAGAAGAAGUGCUCCGUAAAAGGAGCCGCAGUGAAGAGGCCCAAGUAACUGUUUACCAAAAACACAGCUCUAUGCUAAGUCGUAAGACGAUGUAUAUGGGGUGAAGCCUGCCCGGUGCCGGAAGGUUAAUAGGAGAGGUGAAAGCUUUGAAUUGAAGCCCCGGUGAACGGCGGCCGUAACUAUAACGGUCCUAAGGUAGCGAAAUUCCUUGUCAGGUAAGUUCUGACGUGCACGAAUGGUUUAAUAAUUUGGGCGCUGUCUCGACAGCAGACUCGGUGAAAUCUUAAUACCGGUGAAGAUGCCGGUUACCCGCGACUAGACGGAAAGACCCCAUGGAGCUUUACUACAACUUAAUAUUGAGUAAUUGCAAAUCAUGUAGAGGAUAGGUGGGAGGCUAUGAAGUAAUGGCGCUAGCUAUUAUGGAGCCGCCCUUGGAAUACCACCCUUGAUUUACAGUUAUUCUAACUUCCUCCCUGGAUGGGAGGGAAGACAGUGUUAGGCGGGUAGUUUGGCUGGGGCGGCCGCCUCCCAAAUAGUAACGGAGGCGCCCUAAGGUACCCUCAGUAUGGUCGGAAAUCAUACGUAGAGCGCAAAUGCAUAAGGGUGCUUGACUGCGAGACACACAGGUCGAGCAGGUACGAAAGUAGGGAUUAGUGACCAGGCGGUUUCAUUGUGGAAUGGCCGUCGCUUAACGGAUAAAAGCUACCCUGGGGAUAACAGGCUGAUCGCGUCCAAGAGUUCACUUCGACGACGCGGUUUGGCACCUCGAUGUCGGCUCAUCACAUCCUGGAGGGGCAGUACCUUCCAAGGGUUAGGCUGUUCGCCUAUUAAAGUGGUACGCGAGCUGGGUUCAAAACGUCGUGAGACAGUUUGGUCCCUAUCUGUCGUGGGCGUAGGAAGUUUGAAAGGAUCUGACCCUAGUACGCAAGGACCAGGUUGGACGUAACUACGGUACACCGGUUGUUUCGCCAGAAGCAUAGCCGGGUAGCCGCUUACGGAUCGAAUAAACGCUGAAAGCAUCUAAGCGUGAAAUCGUCCUUAAGAUGAGACUUCCGAUUCUAACGAAUUAAGAUCCCUUCUAUGUUAGGAGGUUGAUAGGUCACAGAUGUACGCAUAGUGAUAUGUUUAGUCGAGUGAUACUAAUAGAUCGAUCACUUAUUUCA
rnacentral:rRNA from 1 species